rnacentral:rRNA from 1 species
UACAGAGGGUGCGAGCGUUGUUCGGAAUUAUUGGGCGUAAAGGGCGCGUAGGCGGUGCGGUAAGUCACCUGUGAAAUCUCCUGGCUCAACUGGGAGCUUGCAGGCGAAACUGCCGUGCUGGAGUGUGGGAGAGGUGCGUGGAAUUCCUGGUGUAGCGGUGAAAUGCGUAGAUAUCAGGAGGAACACCUGUGGCGAAGGCGGCGACCUGGUCCUUGACUGACGCUGAGGCGCGAAAGCGUGGGGAGCAAACAGG